rnacentral:rRNA from 1 species
CUGCCGAUGACUCGGGGAUAGCCUUUCGAAAGAAAGAUUAAUACCCGAUGGCAUAGUUCUUCCGCAUGGUAGAACUAUUAAAGAAUUUCGGUCAUCGAUGGGGAUGCGUUCCAUUAGCUUGUUGGCGGGGUAACGGCCCACCAAGGCAUCGAUGGAUAGGGGUUCUGAGAGGAAGGUCCCCCACAUUGGAACUGAGACACGGUCCAAACUCCUACGGGAGGCAGCAGUGAGGAAUAUUGGUCAAUGGGCGCUAGCCUGAACCAGCCAAGUAGCGUGAAGGAUGACUGCCCUAUGGGUUGUAAACUUCUUUUAUAUGGGAAUAAAGUGCAGUAUGUAUACUGCUUUGCAUGUACCUUAUGAAUAAGGAUCGGCUAACUCCGUGCCAGCAGCCGCGGUAAUACGGAGGAUCCGAGCGUUAUCCGGAUUUAUUGGGUUUAAAGGGAGCGUAGGCGGGUUGUUAAGUCAGUUGUGAAAGUUUGCGGCUCAACCGUAAAAUUGCAGUUGAUACUGGCAUCCUUGAGUACAGUAGAGGUAGGCGGAAUUCGUGGUGUAGCGGUGAAAUGCUUAGAUAUCACGAAGAACUCCGAUUGCGAAGGCAGCCUGCUGGACUGUAACUGACGCUGAUGCUCGAAAGUGUGGGUAUCAAACAGGAUUAGAUACCCUGGUAGUCCACACAGUAAACGAAGA